AUUUCUUCUCUGCCUUUUGGUUGUGAUCAAGCAUAGUAUCCAUUCUUUUGCGUUUGAUGUUGAUAUACAGCUCUAGAUAUCAUCUCUCUCCAAGGACAACAUAUUAACUGAUGCAAGAAGUUGGAAUAGGAGUUUGCUUCAUCCAUUCCACUCAUCAACCUGGUAUUGCAAUACCUCCAGGAUGGUACACCCCAA